CCUACGGGGGGCAGCAGUGGGGAAUAUUGGGCAAUGGGCGCAAGCCUGACCCAGCAACGCCGCGUGAAGGAAGAAGGCUCUCGGGUUGUAAACUUCUUUUAAGCAGGAAGAGCAGAAGACGGUACCUCUUGAAUAAGCCACGGCUAACUACGGACCAGCAGCCGCGGUAAUACGUAGGUGGCCAGCGUUGUCCCGAUUUCCUGGGUGUAAAGGGCGUGCAGCCGGGAAGACAGGUCCGAUGUGAAAUCCCGGGGCUAAACCGCGGAACUGCCUUUGAAACUGUUUUUCUUGAGUACCGGAGAGGUCAUCGGAAUUCCUUGUGUAGCGGUGAAAUGCGUAGAUAUAAGGAAGAACACCAGUGGCGAAGGCGGAUGACUGGACGGCAACUGACGGUGAGGCGCGAAAGCGUGGGGAGCAAACAGGAUUAGAUACCCGGGUAGUC
rnacentral:rRNA from 1 species